UUCCGGAUGAUGAAUUCCAAAUAGGAUGAAACGCGUGUCCUGGAU
rnacentral:hammerhead_ribozyme from 1 species